rnacentral:rRNA from 1 species
GAGUUUGAUCGUGGCUCAGGACGAACGCUGGCGGCGUGCUUAACACAUGCAAGUCGAACGGAGUAUUCACGAAAGAGGUUUCGGCCAAUGGAGUGAAUUACUUAGUGGCGGACUGGUGAGUAACGCGUGAGGAACCUGCCUUUCAGUGGGGGACAACAGUUGGAAACGACUGCUAAUACCGCAUAACACAUUUGAGGGACAUCCCUUGAAUGUCAAAGAUUUAUUGCUGAAAGAUGGCCUCGCGUCUGAUUAGCUAGUUGGUGAGGUAACGGCCCACCAAGGCGACGAUCAGUAGCCGGACUGAGAGGUUGACCGGCACAUUGGGACUGAGAUACGGCCCAGACUCCUACGGGAGGCAGCAGUGGGGAAUAUUGGGCAAUGGACGAAAAGUCUAGACCCAGCAACGCCGCGUGAAGGAAGAAGGCUUCGGGUUGUAAACUUCGUUUUAAGGGGAAGAGUAGAAGACGGUACCCUU